AAAGAGUUCUUCGGAACUUGAGUAGAGUGGCGCACGGGUGAGUAACGCGUAAGUAAUCUACCCUGAUAUCUGGGAUAACCCACCGAAAGGUGUGCUAAUACCGGAUACGCUGAUUUAUCAGGAAAGGUGGCCUCUUCAUGAAAGCUACUGUAUCAGGAGGAGCUUGCGUACCAUUAGCUAGUUGGUAGGGUAAUGGCCUACCAAGGCAACGAUGGUUAGCGGGUCUGAGAGGAUGAUCCGCCACACUGGAACUGAAACACGGACCAGACUCC
rnacentral:rRNA from 2 species